UACGGGAGGCAGCAGUGAGGAAUAUUGGUCAAUGGGCGCGAGCCUGAACCAGCCAAGUAGCGUGCAGGAUGACGGCCUUCGGGUUGUAAACUGUUGUCGCAAGGGAAGAAGAAAGUGACGGUACCUUGUGAGAAAGCCACGGCUAACUACGUGCCAGCAGCCGCGGUAAU
rnacentral:rRNA from 1 species